rnacentral:rRNA from 1 species
UACGUAGGGUGCAAGCGUUAAUCGGAAUUACUGGGCGUAAAGCGUGCGCAGGCGGUUAUGCAAGACAGAUGUGAAAUCCCCGGGCUCAACCUGGGAACUGCAUUUGUGACUGCAUAGCUGGAGUGCGGCAGAGGGGGAUGGAAUUCCGCGUGUAGCAGUGAAAUGCGUAGAGAUGUGGAGGAACACCGAUGGCGAAGGCAGCCUCCUGGGCCAGCACUGACGCUCAUGCACGAAAGCGUGGGGAGCAAACAGG